AUUGAACGCUAGCGGGAUGCCUUACACAUGCAAGUCGAACGGAGUGGCGAACGGGUGAGUAAUGUAUCGGUACGUGCCCAGUAGCGGGGGAUAACUACGCGAAAGCGUAGCUAAUACCGCAUACUAUUGGCAGGGCCGAUAUCGGGUGAGAGAGUUGGUGGGGUAACGGCUCACCAAGGCGACGAUCCGCAGCUGGUUUGAGAGGAAGAACAGCAACACUGGGACUGAGACCCGGCCCAGACGCCUACGGGAGGCAGCAGUGGGGAAUUGUGUACAAUGGGGGAAACCCUGAUCCAGCCAUCCCGCGUGUGCGAUGAAGGCCUUCGGGUUGUAAAGCACUUUUGGCAGGAAAGCGGUACCUGCAGAAUAAGCACCGGCUAACUACGUGCCAGCAGCCGCGGUAAUUC
rnacentral:rRNA from 1 species